CCUACGGGAGGCUGCAGUGGGGAAUAUUGGGCAAUGGGCGCAAGCCUGACCCAGCAACUCCGCGUGAAGGAAGAAGGCUCUCGGGUUGUAAACUUCUUUUAAGAGGGACGAGAAGAAGACGGUACCUCUUGAAUAAGCCACGGCGAACUACGUGCCAGCAGCCGCGGUAAUACGUAGGUGGCAAGCGUUGUCCGGAUUUACUGGGUGGAAUGGGCGUGUAGCCGGGCGGGUAAGUCAGAUGUGAAAUCCGGGGGCUCAACCCCCGAACUGCAUGUGAGACUGUUGGUCUUGAGUAUCGGAGAGGCAGGCGGAAUUCCUAGUGUAGCAGUGAAAUGCGUAGAUAUGUGGAAGAACACCAAUGGCGAAGGCAGCCUCCUGGAAGACAACUGACGGUGAUGCGCGAAAGCGUGGGGAGCAAACAGGAUUAGAUACCCUAGUAGUC
rnacentral:rRNA from 1 species